rnacentral:rRNA from 1 species
AUUGAACGCUGGCGGCAGGCUUAACACAUGCAAGUCGAGCGGGGUGAUGGUGCUUGCACUAUCACUUAGCGGCGGACGGGUGAGUAAUGCUUAGGAAUCUGCCUAUUAGUGGGGGACAACAUCCCGAAAGGGAUGCUAAUACCGCAUACGUUCUACGGGAGAAAGCAGGGGAUCACUUGUGACCUUGCGCUAAUAGAUGAGCCUAAGUCGGAUUAGCUAGUUGGUGGGGUAAAGGCCUACCAAGGCGACGAUCUGUAGCGGGUCUGAGAGGAUGAACCGCCACACUGGGACUGAGACACGGCCCAGACUCCUACGGGAGGCAGCAGUGGGGAAUAUUGGACAAUGGGGGGAACCCUGAUCCAGCCAUGCCGCGUGUGUGAAGAAGGCCUUAUGGUUGUAAGGCACUUUAAGCGAGGAGGAGGCUCUUUUGGUUAAUACCCAGAAUGAGUGGACGUUACUCGCAGAAUAAGCACCGGCUAACUCUGUGCCAGCCGCCGCAGUAAUAC